ensembl:processed_transcript
UUUGGUGGGCGGGGCCGUGGCGGGCUCAAAUGGCGGAGGCGCUGGGCGCCUAGGCCGUCGGGGGCCAUGAGCGCCGCCCGGCCCCAGUUUAGCAUCGAUGAUGCCUUCGAGCUGACCCUGGAGGACGCGGGGCCUGGGCCCGAGUCCAGCGGGGUCGCCCGCUUCGGGCCGCUGCACUUCGAUCGCCGGGCUCGGUUCGAGGUGGCUGAUGAAGACAAGCAGUCCCGGCUACGCUACCAGAACCUGGAAAAUGAUGAGGACGGAGCCCAGGCCUCUCCGGAGCCUGAUGGGGGAGUCAGCACCAGCUCGCAGUGGUCCUUCAGCACCAUCAGCAGCAGCACACAGCGCUCCUACAACGCCUGCUGCAGCUGGACCCAGCAUCCUCUGAUCCAGAAAAACCGCCGGGUAGUGCUGGCCUCCUUCCUGCUUCUGCUGUUGGGACUAGUGCUUAUCCUGGUCGGCGUGGGACUGGAGGUGGCCCCCUCUCCAGGUGUCUCCAGCGCCAUCUUCUUUGUGCCGGGCAUCCUGCUGCUAGUCCCGGGAGUCUACCAUGUGAUCUUCAUCUACUGUGCUGUCAAAGGCCGCCAGGGCUUCCAGUUCUUCUACCUGCCCUACUUUGAGAAGUGAGCUGUAACUGGCCAGUGGCUUACCAGUGAUCCAAGGCCUCAGGUCACCUCCACGUGUCCACAGGGUAUUCCUCCAACCUACACCUGGUUCUUUUCCUUUCACCUGGAAAGCAGAGGCCCUCUGGGACCCUCACAACCACCAGGCCCCUUUGGAUUUGCUCAGGAAGUUUGGGGCAUGCCAGCCUGGGAAUAUUGCCUCUUACCUGAUGUGUGCCUUAACUUAUUCCUGGGUCCUGGACUCCUGGGUUGGUGUAAUUUUGUGCUAAUAAAAGGGUAAUUAUUUCCAGCAAGGACAGUUGCACUUUCCUGGGCCACCAAGCCUGGCCCAGCACACUAAUGACCACAGUUCCCCCCUAUAGAGGUUUAGUAAAGGACUCACCUAGAGCUCUAGAGGACCGCCAACCUCCCACAGACAACCUGGAUGAUCUCAGGUGUGCCCAUGGUCACCAUUAUGUCCAGGGCAGAGCUGGAUGAAGUAGUCCCAGCCUCUCUGCCUUCAUCCCUGAGGAGACUCAACACUGCCCCCUAGCCAAGGGUACUAAGAGGUGAUGCAGGCACGAGACCUAGAGGCUGGUACCCUGGUUCCUGCCUGGCUCUGUAGCACUAGGCUGUCAUAGCUGUCACUAAAUGUGAGUCAUGUGCCCCUCUACCCACCCACUGCCCUAUUUCCUAGACCCAGAGGUUGGGAGAACCAGGGAGCAGAGGGUGUUGGAUCAUGGCUUCUCAGCCGAGCAGCACAGGAGCAAGGGGAUGCUUAGAGCCACCAAAUGUUUGAAACAUUUCAAAUUCUUAGAAAAUCAGGGCCUCUAAUAAUGUCUGAAACUUAAAUAAACAAAAAUAAAACAAACAAAAACCAGAAUCUUU